rnacentral:rRNA from 1 species
CAGUCGCCACGGGAAUACGUAGGUGGCAAGCGUUGUCCGGAAUUAUUGGGCGUAAAGGGCUCGCAGGCGGUUUCUUGAGUCUGAUGUGAAAGCCCCCGGCUCAACCGGGGAGGGUCAUUGGAAACUGGGAAACUUGAGUGCAGAAGAGGAGAGUGGAAUUCCACGUGUAGCGGUGAAAUGCGUAGAGAUGUGGAGGAACACCAGUGGCGAAGGCGACUCUCUGGUCUGUAACUGACGCUGAGGAGCGAAAGCGUGGGGAGCGAACAGGAUUAGAUACCCCCGUAGUCCCUGUCUCUUAUAC